GAAGCUCGAAUUGGGGAUGAUACGAAGGAAAUGCCUUUGUAUGGAGAAGAUGGAGCCCUUCCGUGCUGCUCAUCCGGCUUCUGUUGGAGGCUGCCUCCCUCUAGCGAAUGCGAGCAGAACCCGCAGGCAGCUGCUGUGCAUGCUAUGGAUGCGGUGCUGUGCUCGCAUCUUGGUGCUGUGCAUGGUAUGGGUGUAGUGCUGUGCAUGCCCCUCAGAUGCUGUGCAUGCACUUGGAGAAUUCUUGCAUUCUGGGUGUUGUGCACUCCAUGGAUAUCUCCUUGUGUGUUGUGCACAUCGCAGCUCUUAGUUUAAUCAGAGCAGCUGAAUUGAGGGUAUAGCAGCUGCUUGUGGUGCUCUGCUGCAUAGGGAGCAGUGGCAAUGCCCAGGGCAUCAAGGCAGACUUGUCUUUGGAAGAGAUCUGCAAGUACACAGAGCCCAGCAUAGGCGUGAGGUUGCACAGACAGAGCCCUUUGUUCUGAAGGCUGACAAGCAGAUGGAGACCAGCUCUGACCUCAAGCUCAGGAUGCUCAGGAGUUUCACGAGCACCCAAGGACAAAGGCUGGCAAGUGAUGAAAGGGCUCCUGCUCUCAUUUACUGCACUGGUGUCUGCAGAAUUACGUCUGUGAGGAUGGAGGCUGCUGUCAUCAAUAAGGUAUCAAUAGAGAAUUCCAUCUCCCCUGGGUCCAUCACUUUUGUCUUGCCAUUGAAACAUCCUUCUCCACCAAAGUAGCUCUAAAAGGCAGCCAUUCUCCUGGCACAGCUCCAUCAUGGACCCACUGGCUCUGAUCUCUUGACUCCCCUACCAACCUCAUUAAUCGCUGCUCCAUCAUGGAUGUGACCUGGCAAUUAACCAUUGAGGUCAGGGAUGUUCUUGGAGAAACUGAGGCUCAGAAAAGUUAAGGAGUUCACCAAGUCACAUGUGUACCUCCAGGAAUGAAUACAAGAAUGCUGCAAGAGUACAAGGAAAGAUGCUGGUCCAUGGGUCUGCCUAGUAUCAAUCUGAUGUUAAUGAGAACACUAUGAGCAAUUAGACAUUUGUACUUGGAGAUUUUCCCUUUCCAGGGUCAGGCAAACUGUGAAUGGGGGCUGGUUUUAGAAGAUGGGAUGCUGGCAAAGCAGCACACCCAUGGUAGCCACUUCUCUUGGCUUGCUGAAUUGACGCCAUGUGCCUGGACCAUGCCACGGGAUGAGUAUCCAAUGCCUUCUGCCCAUCCCAUGCAUCAAGCAUUCUCAUUCCUUGUCUUCCCACACAUCUUCACUAACAGACCAGGAUGCAAACCCGCCAGCUCCGUGGGGGCUGAGCCUCACCAGCCAUUUUUCUCAUGCAACACCAAACAGCCAUUUGAUGGAAAUGGCUCAGUGCCAUCCCCGACCUAAGCUGCUUUUGAACCGGGCGACCUCUAAGUGAAAGGCUUGGUAUCACAUUGCCAGUUCCCCAAACCAUCUGUCCUCCUUCAGUGAGCUUCCUUCAAAAGUCCCGGCACACUUCAUAAACAUCGCAGCCCUCCUCACCCCUCCAGCUGCCCCUUCCUCUAGGAGAACCAGCAGUUUGAAGGAAAUACCACUCAUUUCUCCUUUUUAUUUUUUCUUCCCAAGUGUGUUAAAUUUGACAUCUGCAAUUUGGCAAAAGCGAAUAGUUUUUUUUGUCCGUCCCCCCUCCCCCACCGCCCAUCUAUGCUGUGUUUUAAACCUGUUGGUGAGGAUGGAGAAGGCAGGGAUCCAUGCUGGUGUAGAUGGAGGCGAUGCUCUGCCCGGUAGCAAAGCCUCCUCUUGCAGCCAUGUCUUUGAACGCGAACAAUAAAGCAAACUUCCAUUUCCUUAACAUAACAUCGUCAUGUCACAACCCCCAGAGCUCCACCUUCCCUUUCAAGAAGUUAGAAAGUGGGACUUUAGACAAAGAAAAAUAGUCUCAGGUGGGUUCACCAUGGAUCAUUUUGACUAUAUUUUAAACACUGAAAUGUCAAUGCUUAGUCAUAGACAAGACAUGAUUCUUAUCUAGCUACAUGUGGCUUCCAGUAUAAAAAAAAAUUGAACCCGUGCCAUUUCCUGUUGGAGAGAGCUUAAACACAGGGGUGACAAGGGCACAUCUAUUUUGGAUCCCUAUUUUAAAAGCCUCCAGAUAUCAUAGAAAUCAAUUGGCACAAACAGAGGACUUUGAAUUUCUUUCAUGGCGGUGGCAAAUUACGUAUAUCAAUGAAACACAUACUUAGUGAAGCGGAAGUGAGCACCAGCAAUACUUCAAUCAUCUUUGGCAUAUGUGUACAUUAUUCUGUUUGAUCUCAUAGGAUGCUGGAUUUAGAUGAUAUAAUCCAUUCGGGUUAUCUUCCUCGUAGUUGGAGGGACGUAAGGAGAUAUCCACUUUCACAAGAUAAAAUUAGCACCUCUUUAUUUUUUGGAUAAACAUUCUUCUUUUCUUUUCUUUUUUUUUUUUUUUCUUCCCCUCAGGAAAGCACUGAUUAGAGUUACAAAGCAUACCAAUGGGUAUGAGUUUAUUCAUAUUCAACCCAAAUCCUAUUUAUAAUAUAAAGGAAAUAACAUUGGUAUUACACAGGGCAACUUGGACAGCCUGGAUGUAAGAGUAGUGAACCACACUCUUCAAAAGCACCCAAAGCUGUUAUUUUCCAAAGCCAUGGUGGGAAAGCAGAAAUUUCACUUAAAAUGAGACAACUGCACCAGAAAAUGGUCUGUCCACACCAAUGGGAAAGUGGAAAUUUCACUUAAAAUGGGACAGUUGCACCAGGACAUGGUCUGUCCACACCGAUUCUUUUCUUCUAAUGUAUCUUCUGACAAGUGCCAUCCUGGAGCUAUGAGCUUUAGGUACAAAGUAUGGACCUGAAUUUUGGACAUAGAGAUUCAGUGUAUUUUCUUGUGCAGCUCUUCAUCUUGAUUUGGUUUCCAGCUACCAUAGGUAGCUAGUAAUUCUGCCCAGAUCACCCAACCAAGCUCUCAAAUACAAACCGAUUCACUGCUUCAAAACAGCCCAGUUAGAAGUUAUUUUUGUUAAGCCAAAGCAUAGAUGGUUUGGGCAUGGGAAAUAUGUUUCUGGGUAGAUCUGUGUGAAUAACGGAUUGUUUGGUUCACUUGCUGCUCCAAACAAUUGGGAGAGAAAAAUGGCUUCCGGUGAAUUAAGUCUUUUGUACCAAGUGGAAGCCUUAAUGGACCUUUGAACUGUUUUAAAAUAAAAGAAAUGCAUUGCGUUAUCUGCAAUGCUUCAUUUCAUGUCAGAAAUAAAGGUGGUGACCUUCGAAAGUCCUUUGAUGGUUGUAACAGUCCAAUGAAAUCAACACGAUUUUCCCAAAAUGUUUCAGUUGAUUUGGAUCUCUGCGUUUCAAUUGACCAUGGGGAAAAACACAGUUGUAGGAGUUUUGCUUUUGUGUUUGUGGGUUUGGCAGGGGUAAAAUGCUCACGGAUCAGACCCCCAAGGCCACCAGCUCCCUUAAGUAUGGUGCACCAAGAACUUCAUACCAGCGUGUGCAGAUAUUUUCGUCUUGGAAUCCACCCUCGCGUUUGCAUUGCAGUUAUGAAAUAAAACCACAAGCGAUACGAUCUGUUGAAAUAUUCUGUGAGGCCUUGGUUAUCAGGAUGUGAUUUUGUACCACUUUGCAAAGUGAAGCUUUCCAGUUUAAUGCACGAUGACAGAACAAGAUCCGUUUACAGGGAUAAAGCGAGCUCGUUUUCAAGACCAAGUUUAGCAACUUCUCAAAUGUCUGUUGUUGUCUGUCCUGUUAAUUGGCUGCAUGGCUGCAGUUUGUGUGGGCUGGCCAUUAUAACGUCAAUAAAUCCACUGACUGGAAAUGAAAUUUGAUGCAUAACGGGGCCAAAUGUUGUGUUCCUGGGAGCCUGACCACGUGCGUUGGCCAGAGGAGUUCAGUGGAUGAGGCUGAGUACCCUCAUCCAACAUAAAAGUGGAUAUUUCUAGAGAAGAAAGAUAAGCUCUGUGCUUUUACAUGGUUCUUCCUCAAAGAGUGACCAUUUAAAUGGUGUUUUGUUUUUUUGUGGAGAAAAGGCAGCAGAAAAGGAUUUUCCCUUCUCACCACUAUGUCCCCAAGUUCAGCCUUUCCCCAUGGGAUUUGGACAAGAAUUUUAUUUCCCUGGGCCUUUGGGAGUUUGGCAUAAAAUUUCAGUGUCAAGAGCCCAAACUUUGCAUUUUCCUGCCUUUCCCUCUCUGAAUAAAAAUAAAAAUCUCCCCAAAAUAAAAUCAGCUAAUGGGAGAAAGCCCGAGGAAGAAGAAAAACUGGGAGGUAGCAGCGUGCUGCGUGCGAUGGCAGACAGAUCUCCACGCCAAUGGGGAUUAUUAAUGGCCAGAGCACGCCAUGUGGUUCUUUUUCCACUCACACUGACAGCAACUGUUUGUCUUCUGUUGUCCAAAUUGUUCAGUUCUUCCCAUCCCAAAACUGUGAUUUCUGAAGGGCUGCGCCGCGAAGGAGUCCGAUGCUCUGCAAGCUGCCAGCUCGAGCGGCUGUAAUAGAAGCUUAUAUUAAAAUAAUUAUAAACCGAACGCAUUACAUAUGAAAAAUAAAUCAACCUCUGAAUUUUAAUUUGCUGCUUGUGCGAGAUAAAAUCAUGGAAAAUGCACAGAAUCAGUUCCUGUAGAAAGAGAAACGAGGGUAAUGAGAGAAACUUAUUGUCUGCAAGUGCGAGUUUCUGUAGGUUUGCAGUCACACCCGUUGUAUCCCCUGAGAUCUCGGGUUUCACGGGGCAGGAGCCGGACCAUCAAGCGAAGGGCAACCAUGGCUACAAUUAGCUGCAGAAGCCGAAUUUGGGGGAUUUCUCAUUAACCUGUCAUGUCAAAUGCCGUAUGAUAAGAUGGUGAAAAUUGGGGGGAGGAGUGGCGGUGGAGGGGUAAAAGUUCAUUUUGCAAAGCAAACAAACAGCGAGUCACUUGAUUUUACUAAUUAUCCUAGCCUGUGGCUCCCUCAGCCAUUAUUUCCACCACCCCCCCAUCAGUGUAUGAACUGACAAGAUAAGAUAGGGUCUGGUAUUUUCUAAACCAUCCUGCCUGACGGCAUAUACAGAUAAUAUGAGGAUUCAUUUGCAAGAGUGCACAGAAGAUUGAUUGAUUUUCUUAAUGCUGGAGCAAUUGCUCAUUACCAAAAUAACUCCUGGCAUUUGUGGGGAACGGUGUGAGGGCACGGCAGGAUGCCCGCCCACAGACGAUGCCCUGGAUGCUGCCUUUUUGGGUGAUAAAGGGCAAUUUUGGUGCCGCGUUGCUACACAUUGUGUGUUUGAUCCGCAGUGCAGAGGUACCAAUGGGUGAGUAAGUGCUGGAUUGCACAGUCCGUAGAGCAGACUUUUUACAUAUACAUUAUACAUAUAUAUAUAUACUGUAUACACAUUUAAUAUAUACAUUUUAAUGAUAUGUUCUACUGUAAACUAAUAGACCUGCAAUUUCUCAGAAAUGCUUCAGGUAUGGGCUUAGCUGACCAAAAACCUUCCAAUCUGCUAGAACGCACAGGCAAAAUAACAUCCAGCCUGUGCUGCCUCUUGCUUGGGAUGAAGUUCUGCUUCAUUGUGAACUUCUCCAACCCUACAACAGAAGCCCAUGAGGAAUCACAGCGUCCUGCACACUCCCCAGCCCAACACACUGGGAAAAAAAGAAGGGAAUUUAAUGAUUAUGUGCUUGCCAGAGUUCUCACAUGUAAUCUCUGCCUUAGCUGGAAUUAUGCACUACCUUAAGAGAUGGCUGUCUUUUUGUUCUUAGUUUCAUUUACAUGCUGCAAAAACCAAACGGAUGCUUGAGGCUGUUCUGCCCUUACGUUGUGCCUUUUCCAAGCUCUUUCUGCAGAGCAACAUGGGAGAACCGCACCAUCGUCACCGCUAAGGACAGAAAUAUCACAACGUUGACUCCCAGUAUCAAAUAUUAACCUGACACCAGUGCAAGGCGUUGUGUCAGAAGACGCUUGAUCCACAAAGCUGGCUUCGUGCAACAUGUUGCAGCUGGUGGGGUGUAUUUAUAGCUUUAAAAAAAAAAAUUAUAAAGGACAGCAAAACACUGGAAAGAGUAGAAAGCAUUUUAAACAGCAAAUUUGUCAUUGUUUUUCCUCGCUGCUGAGUCGGACGGUAGGUCGGCACUGGUUUAGAUUAGCUGUGUCCCAUGCAGUCGGACGGUAGCAACGUGAACCUGCAGCGCACGGAUCCGCCGAGAGCAAGAAAGAGAGGAGGAGGAAUGCAGGGAAUGUUUUCCCUCGCAGCGCUGCGGCGGUGCGGUGGUGACAGCGCUAACACUUCCCAGAGCUGAGGACCCCGAAGCCGAAAUGGCAUUGCCCACCCUGAAAGCGAGAAGGAAACGGGUCUCAGAUGUUUAUAUGUUAAAAAGUAAGCUGCUAAUCUGCCUACCCCUUUACCCAGCAUCGACAACUGUCACGACUUUUCUCCUGGCUUUGGGGCCAAGUUAUGUGUUCACUUGAUUUCUUUUAAAUCAGUGGAAUAACCGCUGUCCUGCAAUCACUGGAUUUGCUUGCUAACACCAAGCAAAGCCACCUCGGCAAUGUAAGCCAAUAUUUGCCAUAGAAUCAUCAGAUUUUGUGCUUAUAGAGAUGGAUUCCAGCAGGGAAGGUGGGAGAAAAGGGCUUAAGGAGCUGCAUUUCAGCGUUUGGUGUUUGUGUCUGUCAAACACAAAGAAUGCUGAGCUGGGAACAUUUCAAGCACUGAUGUUUGUGAUCUCAGAGCAAAGAAGGGCAGAUUAAUCUGCACUUGUACAUUUCUACGCUGUUGCCCAGUGCACAAUUUCAGCACACAUAAAGCAGAGAUUCGUUCCCCUCCAUUAAUCAAUAUUUUUGCUGAUCCUUGAGAUCCCUUCCAACCCAAUCCAUUCUAUGAUUCUGUGAUUUUUAUUUCCUUCUUUUCAGCCUCACACAGCACAGAGGCUGAUAACACGCCAUUAAAAUGGGAUCAAGCCAGAGGUCUUUAGACAGCACCUGAGCUGUGGGGUGACACACACUCUGCACUGCCAACCACUUCUUGCCUUGUUUUUCCCAACAGCUUCUUCACACGGUUCACAUUUUGGACCCAGUGUGAACCACAGCCCCUAGCCCAUGCCUGGUUAACAGUGCAAUGAGAAUCAAAUUAAAUCAGCAAAAAGCUUCGGUUACAAAAGCAGUGGGAGCAGCAGGUAACGCUUUGGAGUCACUUUUCUUUGUAGGUAGAGGUCCCAUGGAUCCUCAUGCAGAUUUAUCUGGGAGAGAUGCUGAAGGAUUGGGCACCUUGUGUAAUAAAAUCUGUAUUUUUUUAAUAACAGUGCUGAAACGCGGUCAUGAAAUAUUAACGAUGUUUUGCCACAAUGUAGGAAAAAGGCAAAAAGCAAAACUGCAGUGUCUACCGACCACAGCAAAAGAGAAAUGCUCGGUGCUAGAGGACAGCAUUCUAGCAGUGCAAACAGAGUAUUUUUCCUUCUGAAUAAUAAAAAAAUAACUUCUGAAAUUACUUUGUGCCACUAGUUAAUGACAGUUUCUCCUUCUGAGCCUUCUGUCAACCACGCUUGAAAUUAAAUGCCGUUGAUAACACGGCGUUAAAAUUCUAUAUUAAACACAUAGAUAAUGAAACAAAAAAAGCAGGAGGGUCGCUUUAUCUUCAUCGUAUCAGCAAUGACAGAACUUGGCGUGUCAGGUUCAUUUAUUGGGUUACUCGCAAAGCUUUUCACUGCAAAUCACAGCUGCAUGCAUCGACCCCUUUCAAUCUCUCCCCGUGUCACGGAUUUUCUGUGUGCUGGUGAUCGUUGUAACUCAAAAAAACAUAAGGAUGCAGAAAUUCAGCAGACGUUUUUCAGCAUUUUAUGGUGACGACGGGCUUCUUAUGGAGUGACUGAGAUCGGCGCAGCGGAGCCCUAGCCUGACAACCGGCUCUUUGCCCUGAGAAAAUAGCCACGUCUCAUCCCAAAUACAUACUUCGGGGGGUUUUACUCCUUCAGUCAAUCAAUCCUCUGUUUUUUUAACAGCCAAAAAAUCUAUAUCUUGCCAGCACGCUAAAGAAAAUAAAAGCCCCCCUUCUUGGCACAUCCUUUGUAACAAAUGUGGAAGCCCGACGAUGGCCACAAAUAUAUUGUAAAAAAUGUGUAAACCAAAGGCGGUGAUAUUUUCCAAAAGAACACCUGGAAGGUGUAAAUCAAAAAUAUUGUAAACACGUCAGCUGGGAACAUACGACAGGCACACUGGUGUGCUGUGCACCCGGCCCAUCGCGCGUUGCAAAUCUGAAUCGAUAAAUCAGGGGAUGAACCUUGGGCUAAUAAACAG